rnacentral:rRNA from 1 species
CACGCCCUAAACGAUGAAUACUCGAUGUUAGCGAUAUACAGUUAGCGUCAAAGCGAAAGCGUUAAGUAUUCCACCUGGGGAGUACGCCCGCAAGGGUGAAACUCAAAGGAAUUGACGGGG